AUGCUUUUGUAGUUCGUAAGUGUAAUGACUGGGUAUUUACGUUCUUGUGUGGAGGGAGAUGUGCCUCCCACAAACCUUCUUACAACAUCAGUACAUUACCCGUUUGACA
ensembl:snoRNA